GAUCCUGGCUCAGGAUGAACGCUAGCGGCAGGCCUAACACAUGCAAGUCGAGGGGCAGCACGGUGUAGCAAUACACUGGUGGCGACCGGCGCACGGGUGCGUAACGCGUAUGCAACCUACCCAUAACAGGGGGAUAACACUGAGAAAUUGGUACUAAUACCCCAUAACAUCAGGACCGGCAUCGGUUCUGGUUGAAAACUCCGGUGGUUAUGGAUGGGCAUGCGUUGUAUUAGCUGUUGGUG
rnacentral:rRNA from 1 species